rnacentral:pre_miRNA from 1 species
UCUUACUUAGAAGCAAAGAAAGUGGUUUCUUGAGAUGGAAUCUACUCCUGGUGAAGAUCCUGUGAA